CCCUGUUAUUYUAAGAAUAAAUAAUAUUUCAAUUUAAUAAAUUUGACGGUAUUAAAAUUUACAAAGGAAUUUGUUUCUUAAUCGACAACCCACGAAUACCUUACUUAGUACAUUUUUGUAUACCACCGUUUUGAUAUUAUUUAAUACUAAUCUCAAUAUAAAAAUUCUUAUAAAAUCAGGUCAAGGUGCAAUUUUACUAAGAUGAAAUGAAUUACAUUAAUAAUAUUCAAAAAAAAAUGAUGAAAAUCACUUUAAAAUAGAAUUUGUUAGUAAAAUUUUAUUAUUAUGAUUAUUUGAAGAUAAUUAUUAAUAUGUACAUAUCGCCCG
rnacentral:rRNA from 1 species